CCCUAGCCCCGACAGCAGUGGAAAGCCUAUGCCGGUUGAAAACCGCUUUUUUCUGGUGGUGGCAGAGCGACCAAAGGAAGCUCCUGACAGCGGCUAGAAAAAGGGUUUGAAACCAAAUAGCUUGCAGCGUAGGGCGGGAAUUGCU
rnacentral:sRNA from 1 species